UUUUAUUUUGAUAUUAUUUUUUAUUGUUGAAAAAAUUAAUAAUAAUUYAUUGUUAAUAAAAAUUAAAAUUUAUAAUAUUUUUAUUUUUAUUUUUUAGUUUUAAAUAAAAAAAAUAAAAUUUAUAUAUAUAAAAAUUUUGUUAUAAAUUAUAAUAGUUUAUUUAUUUGUUUUUUAUAAUAAAUAAUAGUAUUUUUUUUUUAUUAUUUUAUAAAAAAAAAUAAUUUAAUUAUAAUUAUUAAAAGUAAUUUUGUUAUUUAGAAUAAUAUAUUAAUAUAAAUAACAAAAAUAUUAAAUAUUUUUUAAAUUUUUUGGGGAUUUAAGUUAUAAUUUUUUGUGUCUGCUCAGUGAAUUUAAAUAGCACUUUUAGCGUGAUUGGUCAAAGGYA
rnacentral:rRNA from 1 species